GUCAAUACUUGUUCAGCUUGAUGCAUGUGCUUUUGUUUGUUGUCUUUCUGGAAUGAAAAUUCAGUACGAGUCAUUUGAGCAACAGAUGUUUUGUUCUAUUAAAUAUCUCGGUAUAUUUAUCUUAUCAAGUUCAAUUGAAUUUAUUUCAGUAAACUUUUGCUAAUUUCUGAUGUUUUUAUGUGUGCAAUGCAAAAGAACCAGCAGCUGACGGGGGAGUAGGAACAAGACAUAUUACGUUGUCCAGGCAUAUUACGUUGUCCUUGUCCAGUUACAGAGAUUUGGAAAUUGUCUGCUUUGCAGAAUGGUCCAUUACAAGACAAAUUCCUGCAGUACCCCUUCACUAACUUCGUAGCUAAAAAAGGCCACAGAUGUAUUUAUUUGUUUAUUUCAAUCGUUAGGCUACUGUUUUCGUAAGUGUAGCUAUUACCUACCGUUAAUGUCAUAUACAAUGGCGGCCUUCAUUGACAAAAAUAGAGUUUAGCGUAAACGAUGUAGCUUAUUUCUCGUCCUUUUACAAUUUAUACCAAGCAAUUUUGGUACUGUAAAAUUGUCUUUAUUUCUUAAAACUCCCCAACACAUUUGGAGUUUUUCUCUGUUA